AUGGAUAACAUAAAGACAUGUAGUUCAAAUCGCCAUCAAGCACAUCAGUCCUUUAAUGUUAAGCACAUCAAAUGUGUUAAGUUCCUGCAUCAGGUCCAAGCAAGCCACUUCAUGACAGGAGUCAGGAGGCUACAACGUUGUUGGGAGCUCGAUGUUGUAGUGGGCCUUGACAGUGGCAAGUUGGGAGCUGGCGAGGUAGAUGUCGUCCUCGACAAGGGCCGUGACCUCAUCUCCUUUGGCCCCAAGUCCGACUACCACCACAACCAGACAUGCUCCUCCAUAGAGGUUGAUGAAUACAGAUGUUGUUAUGUUGAUUACAUCUGCGUGUGCGCAAAGUGGUCAUGGCCUUGGAUUACUGUCAGCUACGAGAUUAAGUUCGGAGAAAGGGCCAUUGCCAGCUUCUGUGUUGGUAGGGCGAUUCUUAGGCGCACCAAGAUACUGGUCCUGGACGAAGCCACUGCUUCGGUGGACAGUGCAACUGAUAACCUGAUCCAGAACACACUACAACAUCAUUUCUCAGGGUCAAUUGUCAUCACGACUGUGCAUCGAAUCACCUCGGUCCUUCCUAACGAUAUAGUCUAG
rnacentral:rRNA from 1 species